rnacentral:tRNA from 3 species
GCAGGGGUAGCAAAGCCUGGUCAGAGUGCUUGUUGGUUCCUAGCGGGUUCGCAGGUUCAAAUCCUGCCCCCUGCA